GACCGCGUGGCCUAAUGGAUAAGGCGUCUGACUUCGGAUCCGAAGAUUGAGGGUUCGGGUCCCUUUGUGGUCG
rfam:Xenopus tropicalis strain Nigerian Chr08_contig_1190, whole genome shotgun sequence.